rnacentral:rRNA from 1 species
CUACGGGGUGCACCAGUGAGGAAUAUUGCGCAAUGGAGGAAACUCUGACGCAGCCAUGCCGCGUGAGUGACGAAGGCCCUAGGGUUGUAAAGCUCUUUCAGAUGCGAAGAUAAUGACGGUAACAUCAGAAGAAGCUCCGGCUAAAUUCGUGCCAGCAGCCGCGGUAAUACGAAUGGAGCGAGCGUUGUUCGGAAUCACUGGGCGUAAAGCGUAUGUAGGCGGACAUGAAAGUCAGAAGUGAAAUCCCAGGGCUCAACCCCGGAAUUGCUUUUGAAACUCCAUGUCUCGAGUCCCGGAGGGGUUGACGGAAUUCCGAGUGUAGAGGUGAAAUUCGCAGAUAUUCGGAGGAACACCAGUGGCGUAGGCGGUCAACUGGACGGGAACUGACGCUGAGAUACGAAAGCGGGGGGAGCAAACAGGAUUAGAUACCCCAGUAGUC